AUUGAACGCUGGCGGCAUGCCUUACACAUGCAAGUCGAACGGCAGCAUGGGUGCUUGCACCUGAUGGCGAGUGGCGAACGGGUGAGUAAUGCAUCGGAACGUACCCGGAAGUGGGGGAUAACGUAGCGAAAGUUACGCUAAUACCGCAUAUUCUGUGAGCAGGAAAGCGGGGGAUCGCAAGACCUCGCGCUUCCGGAGCGGCCGAUGUCGGAUUAGCUAGUUGGCGGGGUAAAGGCCCACCAAGGCAACGAUCCGUAGCGGGUCUGAGAGGAUGAUCCGCCACACUGGGACUGAGACACGGCCCAGACUCCUACGGGAGGCAGCAGUGGGGAAUUUUGGACAAUGGGCGCAAGCCUGAUCCAGCCAUGCCGCGUGAGUGAAGAAGGCCUUCGGGUUGUAAAGCUCUUUCGGCUGGGAAGAAAUACGCAUCUCCUAAUACGGGUGUGGAUGACGGUACCAGCAUAAGAAGCACCGGCUAACUACGUGACCCG
rnacentral:rRNA from 1 species